GGCUGGGAUGAUGUGACUUGGGGGUUAAAUGCAGUUUGCAGUUUCAAAAAAGAAAAGCAUGAUUUGUUGAAAGAGGCUCCUGAAGAAGAACAUCUGCGAAGAAGUCUAUCUCCCAUAUGGCUUUUAGGACACUUUGCAGUAUGCUCAGAUCAAGCAAUAUGGACCUGAAAAGGAAAAGAAAAAAAAAAGAAAGCAACCAGUCUCCUUCAUAUGAAAAUCUCUGUGGCAUUCUGGGUAACUGCAAUACAAAGAAUAGUGUGAUGGUUUGGCUUUCAAAGAUACUGUUAGUGGCAUUUCUACAGGUUGUUUUGAUUGUCUGUGAAUGCUGAGAGGUUUUUUUUGGUGUAAAUGUUUAUUGCUUUUUUCUAAAUAUAAAAUAAGUCUAUGUUCACUGAAGAAAAUUUGGUAAGUGCAGGAGAGUACAUGGAAGACAAUGUACAAUAACCCCGUUUGGUUUUCCAAAUUGUUUUAUAUCCUUAUUUUGUUCAGUGUCACCACAUUUUUUUUUUUUUUAAUGAGAUAGAGUCUUGCUCUGUCGCCCAGGCUGGAGUACAGUUGUGCAAUCUGGGAUCACUGCAGCCUCCACCUCCCGGGUUCAAGCAAUUCUUCUGCCUCAGCCUCCCGUGUAGCUGGGAUUACAGGCACCUGCCACCGCGCCCAGCUAAUUUUUGUACUUUUAGUAGAGAUGGGAUUUCACUAUGUUGGCCAGGCUGGUCUUGAACUCCUGACCUCGUGAUCCACCCUCCUCGGCCUCCCAAAGUGUUGGGAUUACAGGCGUGAGCCACCACGCCCGGCUGAAAACAUGGUUUGUAAUGGCUCCAUAAUUUAUAAUAAUAGUACCAUGUGCCUGUUUUCUUAUAAGAUAUUUAGGGUAUUUCUAUUUUUAAUGGAAAUAUUGUUAUAAAUAAUGUGAUAACUGUGAAUAUGUAUAUUUGACUAUAUUCCUUAUUACUUCAUUUGGAUAGAUAUUCCAAAACUGGCAUUACUAGGUCAGAAAUUAUGAAUCUGUUUUAAUAACCUUGCUACAUACUUUUGUAUUGGUUUAUAAAGUCUCUGCUAUAUGUUACUACCACCACUAUAUGUGGAGUGUAUGUGAAUUUCAUCCUCAAAUUCUUCAAUAUUCUAGUAGUUGGUAGUUUUUUUUACAUCUUUGCCAUUUCAACACAUAUAAAAUAAUAAAAUUAAUAUCAAUAUGUUCCUAAUUAUUAAAACAAUGUAUUUUUCCCCUUGUAUGUAGUCCAUUAAUGCUGAAGUUUAGUGGCUUGGUUUAAUAACCUUUCCCCAAACCCAUAUUCUGUAUAACAGAAAUUUCUUUGGAAAAAUUUCAGAAUAUACAUCUCUUUGUAGUAACCUGGGAAAUAAUUUUUCUCUUAGGACAUUUGCAUACUGCAUGGAAAUCUGGCCAGAACUUGAACAGAUGGUUCCAAAACUUGGGGUACCUUAAACUUAAACAUCAGUGUAACUUGGGGUCCUCUGCAAGGUCAUCCGCAAGGACUGUGAAAGUCCUGCUUCUUGGUAUCAUUUCCUGACAGGUGUGUGUUAAUGUUUCAGGAAUAUACUGGAGUGUACUGCUUUUUUAUUCCUGAUUCUGCUCACAAACUUGUCAUUUAUUUGACCACUGACUGUUGAGAUUAGGAUGCUCUCAAUAAGGCAUAUUUGGAUCAUGUUUAUCUCAAAACUGCUUCUACUAGAGGCUUUUGUGGCUUGCUUUCACAUAUCAGGGUUACUGCUAAUGUGUCCCUAAUACUUUGUUGAGAAGGUGAAAGUGGUAGUUGAAGUCACUUUAAAGUCAGUCCUAGGAAUGCCUCUCAAAUUCUCCCUGGUUUUCUAUUUUCUAAGUUACCAUUUAUUGAGCACCUCUUGCAUGCCAUGCACAUUUCACACUUGAUCUCGCUUAAGCAUUAUUACAAUCCAAUAGAGUUUGGAUAACGAUGCAUUUUCACAGACAAAAGUAACCUCAGAGAGAUUAAGUCAUUUGCCUGGAGACAUAGAGAUUAUAAAUAAUGGUUGAUAAAUACACAGAGGCUCAAGAUUCCUGUUUGGUAAUUACAGAGGCUGUAGAAAUAGACAUGUCAAGGGCUCUCAACUACUGAGUCUCCAAAAGUCAACUGGGAAUCUUUUAAUUAUUUACAUCCAGGAAAAAUCUUUUACCUAUUCCCUGAAUAAAAUAUAACAUGUUUUAAGGUCAUUUUCCAAACUUUCUUGCUUUAGGUUAAUCAUUAGUGAGAGACCCCAACAUUUCUCAGAUUGUGUGCAAACCCUGAAAUGAUAGCAGAAAUUUACACAGUGACCCCAGACAGUUAGAUUUAUCCUGUAGCUUGGGUUGAGCACCUUAAAUUUAUAUCCAUAUAUGUCUUGCAAAUUCUUUUGCUUUGUGGCUUAGUAGCAAGGCAUUUACCCUCUGGACAGUGCAGUCAGGUGUGCCCAUAAAAACAGGAGUUGAUCAUUUAUGAAAGCUGACUGUGGAAUAAGCUAAAGGUGCUUUGAGGACAUGCUUUUAGUGUCCACUCUUAGAAACCUGUAUUUCAACUUCCCUGGAGCUCAGGAUUUUAAAGAUCAAGCUUCCUAGCCUCUUCAGCCUCUGCAAGUUCAGAUAACCUGUUGCUAUUUUUGAAUAUAAAUAGGCCUUAUUAGGGAUUAAAAGAACUGCCCAGAGGUUUUUCCCCUUUUCUCAUUUUGGUGUUUGGAUUGUCAGCGGAAGUCUUGAGCUUUGAGACUUGGCAAGGCAGCGCCUUCAAACAAACAUCCUGUGGACAAAAUUGUCUGGCCCAGCACUCGGUGUUCCAGGAUGAUUGACAGGAAGCAGCAUGUGCUGGGAGGAGGGAGGAUGGACACUCUGAGCACGGUGGCUUCCAGUUCCCUCAAACAAUAGCCAAGCUCCCAGGGAGCCUCACACCUUCUUUUUCCCAUCUACUGGGGUGGUGGGGGUUAGGGAGGAUGUGGGCUGGGCAGGAGGUGAGAGGAACCUUGGAAUUCCACCCAGCAAUUACAAAUAACCAACCAAAACCUUUCGAUAAUGCUUCAACUUGAGGGAUAGGAAGAUACAGCUAUGCAGAGAUCUGGGAUGAUGCUUGAAUCAAGCAGUGAGCCAAAAGGAGCCAUCCAAAGCUAAAGCCAACACUGGUCACCUUGUGGAAUGGGGCUUGAUGAAGUGAGCAGAAGUGAGGAGAGAUCUGGAAGGGUGAAAAGAAGUGAAAUGAAACUCACACGUAAAAGAAAAUGAACAUUUAAAAGAAAUCCAGCUAUAUGCCAGGAUUUUGCAUAUGUGUUUGCUUUUGGUCCUGUUGCAGGUAUUUGAGGCAGGUAUUAUAUGAAUUCUUUCAGAUGAAACUGAGGCUCAGAGAAGCUAAAUAAAAUUAUCCAAUGUGACAAACUUAGACCAUGGCACAACUAGUAUUUGAGUUCCAGUCCUUUGGACCCUCAAAACCCAUGCAUUUUCCUCUAUUACAUUUCCUCUCUAAACUUGUCUAAAUCCUACCCUCUUCUUUCUCUGCUUCAGUCCUGGUGGGGAAUAUAUAGAAGAGAACUUAUCACCCUAGCUCAGUCUCCUACAACUUCCAAUUUAUAUCUUCCAUUCCUGUCUUCCCAAACCUUUCACCAUUGUCUGAAUCAUCAGGUAUUUCCAUAUCUCUGGGUCUUUAUCAUGUUGUCUUCUCUGCUACAAUGACUUUCUCUUCAUUCACCCUAAUACAAUCUACCAUGCACCCUUCAAAGUACAGUUCAAAUGCCAACUUCUUCAAACAGCUCGUGUAUCUUACUGUCUCUCACUCUCCCAAGGAGGAUCAGUACCUUCCUGACACAGUAGUCUUACAGUAAUUUGUGUCUAUCUCUGUUAUAAUUAUCACAUGUUACUUGGAAUCUGAAUAUCCCUAGUUAUUACUAAAUCAUGAACAACAAUAACUGAAAUCACCAUAAAAUCUAGACCUAUCUUUUGGUGACUUGAUUGUGGCCCAUUUGGGCAAGUGUUAGGCUUCAAUCCUAACAUUGAUAGAAGGAGAUCUAUCCCUCUAUCUCUGAGAGUCCCCAAUUGAUUCCUUACGAUACUUUAUGAAUUAAUAUAAGAAGAAAGGGUGGGCAGAGACAUUGGAGGAACAGUGGAAAAGUGAAUCUCUGUCUAAUUCCUUCCUUCCUUCCUUCCUUCCUUCCUUCCUUCCUUCCUUCCUUCCUUCCUUCCUCCCUUCCUUCCUUCUUUCCUUCCUUCCUUCUAUAGUUACUAAGUAUCACCUAAGAGUUUUGUGCUAGGGUAGAUGCUGAGGACACAAUGGUGAGCAGAACCCACACUUCUUCUGCUGCUGUGGAGUUAGGGUCCAUUGAGGAAGACAAACAUUACAAAUACAACUCACAAAAUAUACAAUCGUGAAUUGUACUAGAUGCUAUUUAAAAAAAUGACAAAGGGGCUACAUGAACCUAAUUCUGAUGGACUUGACCUAGUCUCAGGAACAGGUAGGUGGUGGUUGACAGUUUAAAGUGAACUUUCAGGAAAAGGAGUUAAAUCGAUCUGAAAAGUGAUCAGGUUGCCACUAAAUCUUUAAAGGCAAGAGGUGUUGCUCUUGUUCAUAGAAGACAAGGUACAGAGGGAGUGCCUCUUCCAUCAGGAGGAGGAGAGAUAACAGUCUCAUAAGAGAAUGCUCUGUUUUUGGCACUGCCAAGAUUCGGCUCCUAUGAUGAAAUCUCAGAAUAGAAAAAUUAGAAAAGGGCACACCUCCUAUUCUCAGAAUGGAAAGAAUAGCAAGGUGCCCACUUCAUAUUCUUUCAUGCUCAGUCAGAAAAACAGUAGAACAUUGAAAGUUGAUGAUGAAAUUCAUGAAUUUUUUUUUCAAGUUGCAUUCCCCCUAAAACCUCCUACGGCUAUAUAAGGUCAGCUUUUGUGAUAGAUAUAUAUGUAUGUACACACACAUAUACGUUAUAUAUCAUUGUCUGUUUAUUAAACCUCUUCCCUUCAAUUUGCAGCAAGACUAAUUGUUUUUUGUUUUAUAUAUUCUUAGGAUUGUUGAUAAUGGAGGGAAAAUGAGGGAUGGGAAUGGAGGUGGUGGAGGUGAUCAAAUGGCCCACUCAGAAUUAUCCUAUGCAUCAAAAUACUUAGGGAUAAUUCACGGACUGUAGCCUUUCACAUGAACAUCCCAUAUGGGGCCUUCUCUGGCUGUGUGAGCCUUGCAGAGAACUUAUGAUUUGGAGAGGCCCAGUGGCUAGCAUGCCAGAGGCAGACGCUGGAGCAGAGAUGACACUCCCAAGACACUACACGCCAACCUGCUGUUUAUCCACAUUCUCUGGGAAGUCAUGGAGAUAUGAUUCAACCAUAUGUUCAUACACAACGUGAAACCUUCAUGAGACAUAGGCUGCUUGCCAGGUGCCUAUCUCCCUUCCUUCUUCUUUUCUAUUCUUCCUCUGAAGUACUGAUUUUGGCGAAUCAUAGAGACCAAAUUGGGGAAGUUAUAUUGUAUUUUCUUUAGUAUUUGAAAUGGU
rnacentral:lncRNA from 10 species